rnacentral:rRNA from 1 species
GACGAACGCUGGCGGCGUGCUUAACACAUGCAAGUCGAACGAAGAGCGAUGGACGCUUGCUUCUAUCAAUCUUAGUGGCGAACGGGUGAGUAACGCGUAAUCAACCUGCCCUUCAGAGGGGGACAACAGUUGGAAACGACUGCUAAUACCGCAUACGAUCUAAUCUCGGCAUCGAGGAUAGAUGAAAGGUGGCCUCUACAUGUAAGCUAUCACUGAAGGAGGGGAUUGCGUCUGAUUAGCUAGUUGGAGGGGUAACGGCCCACCAAGGCGAUGAUCAGUAGCCGGUCUGAGAGGAUGAACGGCCACAUUGGGACUGAGACACGGCCCAGACUCCUACGGGAGGCAGCAGUGGGGAAUCUUCCGCAAUGGACGAAAGUCUGACGGAGCAACGCCGCGUGAGUGAUGACGGCCUUCGGGUUGUAAAGCUCUGUUAAUCGGGACGAAAGGCCUUCUUGCGAAUAGUGAGAAGGAUUGACGGUACCGGAAUAGAAAGCCACGGCUAACUACGUG